rnacentral:lncRNA from 1 species
CCCUGUGUGAUUGUGGAAGGGAAAUUGUAAGUUUCUGAGGGCCUCGUACUGAAGGUUUUGUUUCCGUUGUUCUCUCCCACUCAGUAUUGUGUGUUUGUUUGUUUUAUGGUACUUGUUAAGCACUUACUCUGGGUCAAACACCGUACAAGUUAAUUAGGUUGGACACAGUCCCUGUUCCACAUGGAGGCUCACAGUUUUAAGUAGGAGGGAGAACAGAUUUUGAACCCCCAUUCUGCAAUUGAGGAAACUGGAGCACAAGUGACCUCCUCAAGGUAACACAACAAGCAAUUGAAGGAGCUGAGAUUAUAAUCGAAUCCAGGUCCUCUGACCCCCAAGCCCGAGUGCCUUCCACUAAGCCACACUGCUCCUGCUUGGCACUCAGUGGGCACUCAAUAAAAAGUACUGAUUGAUCGACAGGUGUCAGGCAUCACCCCUAUGACCCGGCCCCUCUGAUUCAGGACGAACCUCCGGCACGUGAUCGACUCCUAGCCCACAUGACAUUUGAAGAGCCACUCAAGAAGCAGAGAGCAAAGACCAACGGUCCCGUUGAGAACAGGGGAAAGAAGAGCUGUUGAAAAUGAAGGAGCUGGCUCUGUGAGGUAGGGAGCAAAAGAUGUGCACGUGGUAUUUGGAGGAAAAGGACACGGCAAAGAAACUAUCAGCAGAUGAGAGAAGCCUUCUGCACUUGUCAUUAUGCAGUGAGAGCCUUUUGUUUGUGGAACAGACUUGCCGAUUUGAAUACCCAGGAAAAGCUUACAGAAAACUCUCAUUAAAAUGAAUAAGGCCCAAUCACAGAACUCUAUAGCAGAAAUACC